UGCAGAGUUUGAAGUUUGCCCAGAUGGUUUUCUGUCUUUUCUGAUCCAGAACUCUCAGCUGCCUUAUAUGCCUGUGUGCUUCCAAGUUCCCCACCAUGAGGAUAAUGGACUAAACCUCUGAAACUCUCUACAGAUCUGUCCCAGGACCUGGCCCAUGCUAAGAAAGUGAGUCACAGACCCACAAUUCUCACACACUGCAAAGAGGGUGCCAUCUUGACCCCUGGUCCUGUUGGGUAUGUUACUCAGUCAGAAGGGAGGAACAUCCUCUCCUACAUGUUGUAUGGAUGGGAAAAGCAUCCAUCAACCGAACCCACUGAAACUAGAAGCCAAAGGAACAUUUCUUCCUUUAUUUUUAUCAGGCAUUUAGUCAGCAAUAAAGCAGUAACUACUCAUCCAGUAUAGUCGAGAGGUAGAGCAAUAUCCUUGCAUGCAUGAGGACCUGAGUUCAAUCCCUAGAAUCAGGUGUUACAACUUUCUUCCAAAAAAGUAAGAUUAGAGGGUAAAAGAAUAAGUUUUAG